rnacentral:rRNA from 1 species
UACGUAGGGUGCGAGCGUUGUCCGGAAUUAUUGGGCGUAAAGGGCUCGUAGGCGGUUUGUCGCGUCGGGAGUGAAAUCCACUGGCUUAACUGGUGGCUUGCUUUCGAUACGGGCAGACUGGAGGUAUGCAGGGGAGAACGGAAUUCCUGGUGUAGCGGUGAAAUGCGCAGAUAUCAGGAGGAACACCGAUGGCGAAGGCAGGUCUCUGGGCCACUACUGACGCUGAGAAGCGAAAGCAUGGGGAGCGAACAGG